GCUGGGUUUCCGGCUGCACCACUAUCUUCAGCUCCUUCCCCUCACUUUUGGUUGGAUACUGACCACACAACAUUGGGGUCUUCUUCCCUCCAGCUCCUUUCUGGCUCUCCGACGCUCCAUUUCCUGCUUUUGAGUUGCCUUUGCUGUCCGUGCUGAGCUGAGAAAGGACAUAGUGAGGCGCUUUGGCACUGUCGGCAUCAAAUAUAUCCAUGUUGGACUCUUCACAAUCUCGGCGUUUGAUCCCUGGCCUCUGCUUUGGAUUUCGUUUGCGUGAUUUACGUGGCACCUCAGUGUUAUCAUUGUAGGAACUGGUACUCAUGUUACUGAAGUUGGAGGGUGAAUCCUCCAUCCACAUACUGCAGCUCUGUUCUGAUUCCAAUCCACACCCCUCAUCUUGGCAGGACAUCCGACUGUUGUCCAGCAAGUCCUCAGGUGGUGGCGAGAUGUACAGCACUGUGUGUCUCUUCGGCGUUGACUGCUGCUGCUGGACCGUGUUACUGGUUAACUGCUUUUCACUUACCCCUCGG
rnacentral:lncRNA from 1 species